GUGACUGCGUACCUUUUGUAUAAUGGGUCAGCGACUUAUAUUCUGUAGCAAGGUUAACCGAAUAGGGGAGCCGAAGGGAAACCGAGUCUUAACUGGGCGUUAAGUUGCAGGGUAUAGACCCGAAACCCGGUGAUCUAGCCAUGGGCAGGUUGAAGGUUGGGUAACACUAACUGGAGGACCGAACCGACUAAUGUUGAAAAAUUAGCGGAUGACUUGUGGCUGGGGGUGAAAGGCCAAUCAAACCGGGAGAUAGCUGGUUCUCCCCGAAAGCUAUUUAGGUAGCGCCUCGUGAAUUCAUCUCCGGGGGUAGAGCACUGUUUCGGCAAGGGGGUCAUCCCGACUUACCAACCCGAUGCAAACUGCGAAUACCGGAGAAUGUUAUCACGGGAGACACACGGCGGGUGCUAACGUCCGUCGUGAAGAGGGAAACAACCCAGACCGCCAGCUAAGGUCCCAAAGUCAUGGUUAAGUGGGAAACGAUGUGGGAAGGCCCAGACAGCCAGGAUGUUGGCUUAGAAGCAGCCAUCAUUUAAAGAAAGCGUAAUAGCUCACUGGUCGAGUCGGCCUG
rnacentral:rRNA from 1 species